GUGCAAAGAAGGAUGGGCGGCUAAGCAAAAUAUACUGUAGAUCAAAAUCUCGUGAUAGUCAAAAUUGGUUAUGUAUAUACCAUUACAAAUUUGGUGAUAAGGCUCAGAAAUGUCAACAGCCUGGUGCUUUUUCUAAAAACAAAAAUUCGUUAAACUAGAGUCAUCCGUUGUUGUGGCGGCAAACAAUGGAAAUUUAGAUAUUACCACACGUCGCCUAUUUAUUUUUGAUAAAGCAAACAAACUAAAUUUUUUGAUUGAUAGUGGAGCAGAAAUUUCUAUACUUCCGGUAAAAAAAUUCCCUCAUACAAAACGUUCUUCAGAUAUAAUACUUACUGCAGCCAAUGGUUCAACGAUUUCAACGUAUGGUAAAAAGAUUUUAAAUAUAAAUUUAGGUUUAAGACGCGAGUUCCCAUUUACGUUUCUCAUAGCUGAUAUUGCGAAACCUAUUAUUGGUGCAGAUUUUCUUUGCAAAUACGGUCUCUUAAUUGACAUGAAA